rfam:Cariama cristata contig67953, whole genome shotgun sequence.
GUUAAAAGCUAGGGCUAGGACUUGGAGGAUGUGUAGGCAAACGGAAGGAGAGCCGGGGGAAGAAAAACCGAAAUGGAUUCAUUCUCUGUCCUGGAUGGAGGAGGAGAGGAGAAGAGAAGGGGACGUGCGAGCUCCCUUCAACUGCCUCUGUCCGGUGAAAAGUGCUCAGACCCCCGGGGCUGAGCCGGGCUCAGGAGUCCGCGCGGACUUUCGCUUAGAGCUGCCAAUCAAACCGCUAACUAGCCACCACCCUGCUCUGGCACCGACAU